rnacentral:rRNA from 1 species
GACGAAGGUGGCAACCGUUGCUCGGAAUCACUGGGCAUAAAGCGCACGUAGGUGGCUAAGUAAGUCGGUGGUGAAAUACCUUGGCUCAACCAAGGAAGUGCCAUCGAUACUGCCAUGCUUGAGGACGGGAGGGGUGAGUGGAACUCUUGGUGUAGCGGUGAAAUGCGUAGAGAUCAGGAAGAACACCGGUGGCGAAGGCGCUCUGCUAGGCCGCAACUGACACUGAGGGACGAAAGCUAGGGGAGCGAAUGGG